rnacentral:rRNA from 1 species
GCCUACGACCAUAUCACCCAGAAUGCGCCCGAUCUCGUCUGAUCUCGGAAGUGAUCUCGGAAGCUAAGCAUGGUCGAGCCUGAUUAGUACUUGGAUGGGAGACUGCCUGGGAAUACCAGGUAUUGUAGGCU